rnacentral:rRNA from 1 species
CCAAUAGCGUAUAUUAAAGUUGUUGCAGUUAAAAAGCUCGUAGUUGAAUUUCGGAAUCAGUACGCUGGUCGUGCCUUCGGUAUGUACUGGUGUCACUGAUUCCUCCCUUCUGAAGAACCAUCAUGCCAUUCACUUGGUGUGGUGGGGAAUCAGGACUGUUACUUUGAAAAAAUUAGAGUGUUUAAAGCAGGCUCGCGCUUGAAUACAUUAGCAUGGAAUAAUGAAAUAGGACGUUAAUCCUAUUUUGUUGGUUUCUAGGAUCGACGUAAUGAUUAAUAGGGAUAGUUGGGGGCAUUAGUAUUCAAUUGUCAGAGGUGAAAUUCUUGGAUUUAUUGAAGACUAACUACUGCGAAAGCAUUUGCCAAGGAUGUUUUCAUUAAUCAAGAACGAAAGUUAGGGGAUCGAAGACGAUCAGAUACCGUCGUAGUCUUAACCAUAAACUGUGCCGACUAGGGAUCGGAUGAUGUUAAUUUUUUAAUGACUCAUUCGGCGCCUUACG